GGCUCGUUGGUCUAGGGGUAUGAUUCUCGCUGGCGCGAAGAGGUCCCGGUUCAAAUCCGGACGAGCCC
rnacentral:tRNA from 1 species